UACGUAGGGGGCAAGCGUUGUUCGGAAUUACUGGGCGUAAAGGGCGCGUAGGCGGCCUUCUAAGUCGAACGUGAAAUCCCCGGGCUCAACCCGGGAACUGCGUCCGAUACUGGGAGGCUGAAUCCGGGAGAGGGAUGUGGAAUUCCAGGUGUAGCGGUGAAAUGCGUAGAUAUCUGGAGGAACACCGGUGGCGAAGGCGGCAUCCUGGACCGGUAUUGACGCUGAGG
rnacentral:rRNA from 1 species